AUUGAACGCUGGCGGCAGGCCUAACACAUGCAAGUCGAGCGAGCGGCGGACGGGUGAGUAAUGUAUGGGGACUGCCCGAUAGAGGGGGAUAACUACUGGAAACGGUGGCUAAUACCGCAUACUAUCGGAUAACCCAUAUGGGAUUAGCUAGUAGGUGGGGUAAAGGCUCACCAAGGCGACGAUCCCUAGCUGGUCGGAGAGGAUGAUCGGCCACACUGGGACUGAGACACGGCCCAGACUCCUACGGAGGCAGCAGUAGGGAAUCUUGGACAAUGGGCGCAAGCCUGAUGCAGCCAUGCCGCGUGUAUGAAGAAGGCCUUAGGAUUGUAAAGUACUGUCAGCGGGGAGGCGUUACCCACAGAGGAAGCACCGGCUAACUCCGUGCCAGCAGCCGCGGUAAUAC
rnacentral:rRNA from 1 species